UACGGAGGGGGCUAGCGUUGUUCGGAAUUACUGGGCGUAAAGGGCGCGUAGGCGGCGAGGUAAGUCGGGUGUGAAAUCUCAGAGCUCAACUCUGAAACUGCACUCGAUACUGCUUUGCUAGAGGACUGGAGAGGAGAUUGGAAUUCACGGUGUAGCAGUGAAAUGCGUAGAGAUCGUGAGGAAGACCAGUGGCGAAGGCGGAUCUCUGGACAGUUCCUGACGCUGAGGCGCGAAGGCCAGGGGAGCAAACGGG
rnacentral:rRNA from 1 species